AUUGAACGCUGGCGGCAUGCCUUACACAUGCAAGUCGAACGGCAGCACGGGUGCUUGCACCUGGUGGCGAGUGGCGAACGGGUGAGUAAUACAUCGGAACAUGUCCUGUAGUGGGGGAUAGCCCGGCGAAAGCCGGAUUAAUACCGCAUACGAUCUACGGAUGAAAGCGGGGGACCUUCGGGCCUCGCGCUAUCGGGUUGGCCGAUGGCUGAUUAGCUAGUUGGUGGGGUAAAGGCCUGCCAAGGCGACGAUCAGUAGCUGGUCUGAGAGGACGACCAGCCACACUGGGACUGAGACACGGCCCAGACUCCUACGGGAGGCAGCAGUGGGGAAUUUUGGACAAUGGGCGAAAGCCUGAUCCAGCAAUGCCGCGUGUGUGAAGAAGGCCUUCGGGUUGUAAAGCACUUUUGUCCGGAAAGAAAUCCUUGGCCCUAAUACGGUCGGGGGAUGACGGUACCGGAAGAAUAAGCACCGGCUAACUACGUG
rnacentral:rRNA from 1 species